ensembl:lncRNA
AUGACUCUCCACCCCACCCCACCCCGCCCCCUUUCAAAUACUACAGACACAAAGAUGACUGGGGGAACUGCUGCUGCUGCUGCUGCUGCUAAGGCCACCAAACAAGAGAGAGAUGCACAGCGAUGUGGGGAAGAUAAUUCUACUCUAAGGCUUGAGAAUGAAAGCCCAGGUUUUCAAAGGCGAAGCUGGGGAAAACAAGAGGAAAACAAGGACCUUCGUGUCUCCAGUGAGCCUUCUUUAAGUGGCUGCUGGAAGACUGUGACCUGCCUUCCAGCACCACCGACGCUGCCGGGGAGCCCCAGGUAACGCAGAAUCACCCACUCCAGCCCUGACCUGCUGAACCAGAAGCUGCCUUCAAACAAGAUUCCCAGCUGGUUGGCACGCACGUGACAGUCUGAGGAGCCAGACUCGAGACUGGUGGUUCUCCGCUCUGGUUGUGCCUCGUCCAGGCCCACCCCGGGUGGCUGCAACACCCACCUUCCCACCCCCAGCAGGUGACUGUGAUGGGCAGCCAGGGCUGGGAGCCACAGCUCCAGGCUGCCAGCUGAGGCCAGGGACUCAUCAAGUCCGUAUCUACUCCCCUGCCCCACCUUUCCCCAAGGCUGGCGGCACAGGGCCUGGCACACAGCUGUGCCCACGGAAUUCCACACCAAAAAUACCCUCGAGGAUGCCCCUGAACCUGACUGCCUUUAAAAGAGAAACAAAAACUCUAAUGACAGAGGACUAGCUGUUGCCUAGAACUCUGCAAAUCCCUAGUCAUCGAGGUGGACGUAGGAGUCAGUGCUUCCAGAUCACUUGCCUCAGUUUCCGGAAAUGAAACAGACACUGGAGUGGAAAAGAAGGAUGAAUCAGAAGUCCUGCCGGCCUUCAUGGGGCUGUGGUGCUGCGGCGGGGAGGCAGAGACUGUGUAGGGAGCAGGUAUGCUGAGCUGAGAAGCCCUGGGGGAUGACUGAAAUCCCAGGCUGGGGGCCCGACUCCUUCAAUCCUGACCCCAACAGCACAGCAUUGCUCUUGCUGGAAAGCUGGGCCAAGCCUCUUGUUUUACGAAUACGGGAAGUGAGGCCCAGAGAAGCUGGCAAGGGCCCACCGCCAGUCAGGGGCAAGAGACGGCCUCGCCCCGCGCUUCAGGGUCAGUCCUCCCCGGGCACGGGAGGCCUGGCCGACAGCUCUGCCACAAGCCCGAGCCUCGCUGGGCCUUAGGUCCUGAUCGACAUGAGGAGGCUGGACUAGGUGUAAGUGAGGUCCCUUCUAAGCCUGAUGUUCUAGCACGGCAGCGUAACUUACUGAGGUUAGGAGCUCGUGUUCUGGGGUGGGACAGACCUGGAUUUGGAUCCCAGCUCUCAGAAUUUCUUUACCUGUAAAAUGGGGAUUUCAAUCAACCGACCCUACCCUAUAAAGUUGUUGUGAACGAUAAUACGCGUAAUUCAUUUAAGCAUAGUACCUGACCCACAGUAAGCGGAGUUCCAACCCUGUGAACUUGACGAAGUUGCAAAGCACGGUCACUGUGUUUCCCUGGCAUGACAAAGCCCUAUCUACUGGGCUUUACCACACUGAUGACAGAAUGAGAGAACAUACGUUAAGGCAAUCAGAGAGGGGAAAUAUAAUAAUGAUAAUAAAUAUAAUAAUCAGAUAAUAAAUAUUGUAACAAUUGUAUAAUAUAAUGAUGAUAUGAUAUAUAAUACUUAACAUUCCUUUCCUAGCAGAACCUUGGAGAGCUUCAGAGUUCCAGAGCAGUGGCCACUACAACGCCUAGCACAAAGCAGGUGCUCAACAAACUUUUCUACUGGCGCAGUUAAAACUACUGUGCCUAAUGGGUUCACAAAUUCCAGCUGCUUAAGUCAGGCAGCACCUACGUGGGAACUGUAGGAAACUGCGAAGGACCCCUUGCCACAGCCUAGAGGAUUUCAAACCCAGCACUUGACACACGUUAUGCAGCUGCUGCAGCCUCUGCACACCAGUUCCUGGUCCUCCACUACACUGCAGAGUAUCCAGCCGCUCAUCUAAUCCUUCCGUGAUCUGGCCUUGUCUUUCCGCAUACCCAGUUGGCGUCCUGAAGAUGAGGGCUGUGACCACACUCCCCAGUCUCCCCAGAUCCUGGUCUCACAGUGAUGGGGACCUCACUCAGCCAGCUGCUGUUGAACUGAACAGCCAGACUGUUAAUUGGCACCUUGUACGAGAUGCUGCGGGCUGGGUACAUUUUUCGACCCAAGGGCCAGGCUGAGUUGGUGUAGGCGCUGAGCUGCGGUGACUGGACCCAGAAGCACUGGUUUUGCAGGUUUUUCCUCAACUGCAUCAAACGCGCUUGUUCCUGAGCCACCUACAUAGGUGGUACACGUGCACCCAGACACACUGACUCUGCAAGGACACGGCAGAGUAAGUACGACCCACAGGUGCCGUUUUGGGGGGAGAAGUUUAGCCUCCACUUCUGGCACCCCCAGACUCCCCUGGUGCCUCCCGGAAGCAGCACAGGGUACAGAAGGACCAAACUCCAGAUGAAGAGAUUGGGGUCCUGGGUCCCAUCUUGCUUCCUCCGCUCACAAACUUUAGGAUGACUGCUGGCAGGCAACAUGACUUCUAGGAGCUUCAUUAUGUUUAUUAGUGAAAUGCACGUAACAAUAAUUACCUCAAACGGUUUAAGGCAAUUAAAUGCUGCCGGUAUAUAAAGCUUCUAGCACUGCACACCCCUAUGAGUGGCUAUUGAGCAGCUGAUAUGUGGUUAUCACAAGCUGAGAUGGGCCCUAGGUAUAAAACACGCAUCAGAUUUCAAAGGCUUAUUGUUGUUUAGUCUCUAAGUUAUGUCCAGUUCUUUUGCAACUCCAUGGACUGUAGCCCACCAGGCUCCUCUGUCCAUGGGAUUUGCCAGAAAGAAUACUGGAGCGGUUGCCAUUUCCUUCUCCAGGGGAUCCUCCUGACCCAAGGAUUGAACCCAUGUCUCCUGCAUUAGUUGGUGGAUUCUUUACCAGUGAGCCACCAGGGAAGCCCUUCACAGGCUUAAUAACACACAAAAAUGUUAAUACCUCACUAGUAAUGUUUUUCUAUUGAUUAUAUGUCAAAAGAAUAUUCUUUGAAAAUCUACUAGGUUCAGUAAAAUGACAAGAAGUAAUUUCACUUUUUCCCCUUUUUCUUUUUUUGGCUGCUCCGGGACUUAGAUGCAGCAGGCAGGAUCUAAUUCCCUGACCAGGGAUCCAACUCAGGCGCCCCCUACACUGGGAGUGCAGAACCUCAGCCACUGAAUCACCACGGAAGUCAUUUGCUUUUUUAGUGUGGCUAUUAAAACUUUUUUAACCACAAAUAUUGCAUUAUAUUUCCACUGGACAGCAAUGCUUGAGCACAGAGCCUGGCACAGUUUGUGAAGGACAUUAGAGCUGCGACUCACACCCUGUACCUCUGGCCAAAGCCAAGUCCUCCAUUCAUAUGUUUAACACACAUUCACAGUGCCUGGCCCUGGGCAAGAUGCAGGAAAUACAAGGAGCAACGACGGACCCUUUCUUUUCCCCUGUGGACCUUACUACCUGGGGAUGGGGGGACAGACAGACAUGAAUACGUUCAUAAAUAUAUGUCAAACUGCUGUUCAAGUGGCGUGAAGGAGAAGUACAGAGGGUGAUGAAAGCGGGGAAUUCACUUGCUGGGACCAGGGAUGCCUCUAGAGGAACUGAUACUUGAGUGGAGAUUUGAAAGAUAAAGAGGACUUGACUGGAAGAAGGCAGGAGGGGAAGGUACUUCCUGGGGAGUAGGAAAGAAGGUUAAGGGUGCAGACUCUGAUCUGGCCCAGGGCUCGGUAUGUAGCAGGAACAAGAAAAGGCCAGUGUGACAAGAGUACUGAGCAAGAAGGGUUAGUAGAUGGAGACUAGAGAGGAGAGGUGGGUGGCAUCCCAUCUCCAGAGCUUGGGUGAGGAUCUGAGGGUGGUCCUGCAAAGAGGUGGAAGCCGGCCAGUUACAAAGUAAGCCAGGGAACGGAUCUGGACGGAAUUUUGAAAAGAUCCCUCGGGCCACGGUGCGAGGCCCACAGGAGAGCGGCCCCAGCGCCUGCGUGGGCAGAUGGGUUAGAAUACUGCAUCAGUCCAGGUAAGAGGCGAGAGAGGUCUGCA